rnacentral:rRNA from 1 species
AGGACGAACGCUGGCGGCGUGCUUAACACAUGCAAGUCGAGCGGAAAGGCCCUUCGGGGUACUCGAGCGGCGAACGGGUGAGUAACACGUGAGCAACCUGCCCUUAGCUCCGGGAUAGCUCCGGGAAACCGGAAUUAAUACCGGAUACGACCACGGCCGACAUCUGCUGUGGUGGAAAGGAUUCCGGCUAAGGAUGGGCUCGCGGCCUAUCAGCUAGUUGGUGGGGUAACGCCUACCAAGGCGACGACGGUAGCCGGCCUGAGAGGGCGACCGGCCACACUGGGACUGAGACACGGCCCAGACUCCUACGGGAGGCAGCAGUGGGGAAUAUUGCGCAAUGGGCGAAAGCCUGACGCAGCGACGCCGCGUGGGGGAUGAAGGCCUUCGGGUUGUAAACCCCUUUCAGCAGGGACGAAGCGAAAGUGACGGUACCUGCAGAAGAAGCGCCGGCUAACUACGUGCCAGCAGCCGC